AUUGAACGCUGGCGGCAGGCCUAACACAUGCAAGUCGAGCGGAUGAAGGGAGCUUGCUCCUGGAUUCAGCGGCGGACGGGUGAGUAAUGCCUAGGAAUCUGCCUGGUAGUGGGGGAUAACGUCCGGAAAUGGGCGCUAAUACCGCAUACGUCCUGAGGGAGAAAGUGGGGGAUCUUCGGACCUCACGCUAUCAGAUGAGCCUAGGUCGGAUUAGCUAGUUGGUGGGGUAAAGGCCUACCAAGGCGACGAUCCGUAACUGGUCUGAGAGGAUGAUCAGUCACACUGGAACUGAGACACGGUCCAGACUCCUACGGGAGGCAGCAGUGGGGAAUAUUGGACAAUGGGCGAAAGCCUGAUCCAGCCAUGCCGCGUGUGUGAAGAAGGUCUUCGGAUUGUAAAGCACUUUAAGUUGGGAGGAAGGGUAGUAAGUUAAUACCUUGCUGUUUUGACGUUACCAACAGAAUAAGCACCGGCUAACUUCGUG
rnacentral:rRNA from 1 species